GACGAACGCUGGCGGCGUGCUUAACACAUGCAAGUCGAACGGAAAGGCCCUGCUUUUGUGGGGUGCUCGAGUGGCGAACGGGUGAGUAACACGUGAGUAACCUGCCCCUGACUUUGGGAUAACUUCAGGAAACUGGGGCUAAUACCGGAGAGGAGCUCCUGCUGCAUGGUGGGGGUUGGAAAGUUUCGGCGGUUGGGGAUGGACUCGAGGCUUAUGAGCUUGAUGGUGGGGUAGUGGCUUACCAAGGCUUUGACGGGUAGCCGGCCUGAGAGCGUGACCGGGGACAAGGGUACUGCGAUACGGAGCAGUAUCGUACGGUCGGCAGUAGUGGGAAAUCUUGCGGAAUGAGCGGAAGCGUGAGGUAGCAACGUCGGGAGCGGGAUGACGGGCUACUGGGUAUGAACCGCUUUCGCAGGUGACGAAGAGUGAGUGACGGUAAUGAGUAAAGAAGCCCCGGCUAACUACGUG
rnacentral:rRNA from 1 species